ensembl:snoRNA
AUGCAUGUUGAUCCAAGAGCUGUGGCUCAGUGCAGUAGCUACAGGUUUCCAGUAACAUGCCAGAGCAAUGGAAGGUCUUUGGCUGCUGGGCUUCUCCUGCCCAUUGCUGUUACUCGCCCUUCCUACAGAC